UACGAGGGGGGCGAGCGUUGUUCGGAAUUAUUGGGCGUAAAGGGUGCGUAGGCGGUUUGGUAAGUCUUAUGUGAAAUCUACAGGCUCAACUUGUAGUCUGCAUGAGAAACUGCCGGGCUUGAGUAUGGGAGAGGUGAGUGGAAUUCCUGGUGUAGCGGUGAAAUGCGUAGAUAUCAGGAGGAACACCUGUGGCGAAAGCGGCUCACUGGACCAUAACUGACACUGAUGCACGAAAGCUAGGGGAGCAAACAGG
rnacentral:rRNA from 1 species